ACUAAGAACGUUCUGGUGCGUCAGAACUCCACCCAGCUCCACCCAUCUCAUGACAGCAAUGAUUGCACCAAUACUGAACUCUCCAGGGUGAUCAGCCCUGAAGGAACUGUGAUCAGAUACUUCAGAGAUGGGUCGAGCCAGAUCCUUUUUGCAGAUGGCACUGUAAGCAACUGUGGAGAACACAUUCUGCAUUCAGCUCAAGACCCAUUCACUAGAGAGAAUGGGUGUUUGAGGGAGCAGCACAUGGAUGGCAGAGAAUCGAAAGAAAGAAAAGGCUCCCAAAAUAAUACACUUAUAUCAGGAAAGUGCACCUUUGAGAGUGGCACAGGAAGUGAGGUAGAUGAACUGAAGAAAAAGAAUGACCAAAGUCCAGCACAGCUGCGUCGCUCCUGGACCACAACGACACCAUCUGGCCUCCAGCUCCACAGCGCAGGAGACACAUCAGGGGACAUUCAACAUAUCCUAACCUACACAUCAACCGACCCCUUCAGCCAAACAGUAAGCAACCAAUGUUGUACAUGACUAAUGGACUAAUUGGUUUACUGAACCAAAGCCUUACUUGAAAAAGAACAUUUGUAGCAGAUAUUACAACUAAAGC